CCCUUAGAUGUUCUGGGCCGCACGCGCGCUACACUGAUGCAUUCAACGAGCCUAUCCUUGACCGACAGGUCCGGGUAAUCUUUGAAUCUGCAUCGUGACGGGGAUAGAUUAUUGCAAUUAUUAAUCUUCAACGAGGAAUGCCUAGUAGGCGCAAGUCAACAGCUUGCGUUGAUUACGUCCCUGCCCUUUGUACACACCGCCCGUCGCUACUACUGAUUGGAUGUUUAAGCGAGGUUCUCGAACUGCUAGCGACUUAGCUUCGGUGAGGUCGCAGUGUGGGAAGUGAACCUAGCUUUGGUGUCUAGAGGAAGUAAAAGUCGUAACA
rnacentral:rRNA from 1 species